rnacentral:misc_RNA from 1 species
UUUUUUCGCCUUUAACAACACUGUUCUGAAUAUGGGUAUUUCUGCCCAUUCUGUGUGGGAGCCCCUAAAAACAUGAUUACAGGAAUAUAUAGUAACCAUCAUCUUUUCUCCAGUUAAGAUCACCAUGCUAUUAGGAGUCUUCUUAAAAGUCUUAAAUUUUAGCGUGCUUAAAGCUGGCAAAUUAAGUGUGUGGAGUUGGUAGCCUUCUAGCUAUAUUAUUUCUUGCCAUGAGAAUAAGUUUGAUUUGGUUGCCAUGAGAUUAAGUUAGAUCUUGGAUGCACCUUUCCCCAUUUCACCUUCGGCCUCAUUUUAUAAGAUUCCUAUGAUUUUAAAUAUUGUCUUUUUAAUCUUUUGCAAUAAAGUUUUAUUUAAUUAGAUUAAUUGCUGGUUCAUUUUGUUAUUCAUCUUCGUGAUCCUUCAUUGUAAAUUUAUAAUAUAUUCUUGUCUCAUGUAUUCACUUCUUUCCUUUUGUUGUCUAGUUGGGUGUCUAAUGGGGUUGUUGGCUCUCCAGCUUUUGCAGCAUAUGAUCAAGGGUUUGAU